rnacentral:rRNA from 1 species
GGUUAAGCGACUAAGCGUACACGGUGGAUGCCCUGGCAGUCAGAGGCGAUGAAGGACGUGCUAAUCUGCGAAAAGCGUCGGUAAGGUGAUAUGAACCGUUAUAGCCGGCGAUGUCCGAAUGGGGAAACCCAGUGUGAUUCGUCACACUAUCGUUAACUGAAUACAUAGGUUAACGAGGCGAACCGGGGGAACUGAAACAUCUAAGUACCCCGAGGAAAAGAAAUCAACCGAGAUUCCCCCAGUAGCGGCGAGCGAACGGGGAGCAGCCCAGAGUCUGAAUCAGCUUGUGUGUUAGUGGAACGGUCUGGAAAGUCCGACGGUACAGGGUGAUAGUCCCGUACACCAAAAUGCACAGGCUGUGAACUCGAAGAGUAGGGCGGGACACGUGGUAUCCUGUCUGAAUAUGGGGGGACCAUCCUCCAAGGCUAAAUACUCCUGACUGACCGAUAGUGAACCAGUACCGUGAGGGAAAGGCGAAAAGAACCCCGGCGAGGGGAGUGAAAAAGAACCUGAAACCGUGUACGUACAAGCAGUGGGAGCACCUUCGGGUGUGACUGCGUACCUUUUGUAUAAUGGGUCAGCGACUUAUAUUCUGUAGCAAGGUUAACCGUAUAGGGGAGCCGCAGGGAAACCGAGUCUUAACUGGGCGUUAAGUUGCAGGGUAUAGACCCGAAACCCGGUGAUCUAGCCAUGGGCAGGUUGAAGGUUGGGUAACACUAACUGGAGGACCGAACCGACUAAUGUUGAAAAAUUAGCGGAUGACUUGUGGCUGGGGGUGAAAGGCCAAUCAAACCGGGAGAUAGCUGGUUCUCCCCGAAAGCUAUUUAGGUAGCGCCUCGUGAACUCAUCUUCGGGGGUAGAGCACUGUUUCGGCUAGGGGGUCAUCCCGACUUACCAACCCGAUGCAAACUACGAAUACCGAAGAAUGUUAUCACGGGAGACACACGGCGGGUGCUAACGUCCGUCGUGAAGAGGGAAACAACCCAGACCGCCAGCUAAGGUCCCAAAGUCAUGGUUAAGUGGGAAACGAUGUGGGAAGGCACAGACAGCCAGGAUGUUGGCUUAGAAGCAGCCAUCAUUUAAAGAAAGCGUAAUAGCUCACUGGUCGAGUCGGCCUGCGCGGAAGAUGUAACGGGGCUAAACCAUGCACCGAAGCUGCGGCAGCGACACUAUGUGUUGUUGGGUAGGGGAGCGUUCUGUAAGCCUGCGAAGGUGACCUGUGAGGGUUGCUGGAGGUAUCAGAAGUGCGAAUGCUGACAUAAGUAACGAUAAAGCGGGUGAAAAGCCCGCUCGCCGGAAGACCAAGGGUUCCUGUCCAACGUUAAUCGGGGCAGGGUGAGUCGACCCCUAAGGCAAGGCCGAAAGACGUAGUCGAUGGGAAACAGGUUAAUAUUCCUGUACUUGGUGUUACUGCGAAGGGGGGACGGAGAAGGCUAUGUUAGCCGGGCGACGGUUGUCCCGGUUUAAGCAUGUAGGCUGGUUAUCCAGGCAAAUCCGGAUAAUCAAGGCUGAGGUGUGAUGACGAGGCACUACGGUGCUGAAGUAACAAAUGCCCUGCUUCCAGGAAAAGCCUCUAAGCAUCAGGUAACAUUAAAUCGUACCCCAAACCGACACAGGUGGUCAGGUAGAGAAUACCAAGGCGCUUGAGAGAACUCGGGUGAAGGAACUAGGCAAAAUGGUGCCGUAACUUCGGGAGAAGGCACGCUGGUGUGUAGGUGAAGUCCCUGCGGAUGGAGCUGAGACCAGUCGAAGAUACCAGCUGGCUGCAACUGUUUAUUAAAAACACAGCACUGUGCAAACACGAAAGUGGACGUAUACGGUGUGACGCCUGCCCGGUGCCGGAAGGUUAAUUGAUGGGGUUAUCCGUAAGGAGAAGCUCUUGAUCGAAGCCCCGGUAAACGGCGGCCGUAACUAUAACGGUCCUAAGGUAGCGAAAUUCCUUGUCGGGUAAGUUCCGACCUGCACGAAUGGCGUAAUGAUGGCCAGGCUGUCUCCACCCGAGACUCAGUGAAAUUGAACUCGCUGUGAAGAUGCAGUGUACCCGCGGCAAGACGGAAAGACCCCGUGAACCUUUACUAUAGCUUGACACUGAACAUUGAGCCUUGAUGUGUAGGAUAGGUGGGAGGCUUUGAAGCGUGGACGCCAGUCUGCGUGGAGCCAACCUUGAAAUACCACCCUUUAAUGUUUGAUGUUCUAACGUUGGCCCCUGACCGGGGUUGCGGACAGUGUCUGGUGGGUAGUUUGACUGGGGCGGUCUCCUCCCAAAGCGUAACGGAGGAGCACGAAGGUUAGCUAAUCCUGGUCGGACAUCAGGAGGUUAGUGCAAUGGCAUAAGCUAGCUUGACUGCGAGCGUGACGGCGCGAGCAGGUGCGAAAGCAGGUCAUAGUGAUCCGGUGGUUCUGAAUGGAAGGGCCAUCGCUCAACGGAUAAAAGGUACUCCGGGGAUAACAGGCUGAUACCGCCCAAGAGUUCAUAUCGACGGCGGUGUUUGGCACCUCGAUGUCGGCUCAUCACAUCCUGGGGCUGAAGUAGGUCCCAAGGGUAUGGCUGUUCGCCAUUUAAAGUGGUACGCGAGUUGGGUUUAGAACGUCGUGAGACAGUUCGGUCCCUAUCUGCCGUGGGCGCUGGAGAAUUGAGGGGGGCUGCUCCUAGUACGAGAGGACCGGAGUGGACGCAUCACUGGUGUUCGGGUUGUCAUGCCAAUGGCACUGCCCGGUAGCUAAAUGCGGAAGAGAUAAGCGCUGAAAGCAUCUAAGCACGAAACUUGCCCCGAGAUGAGUUCUCCCUGAGACUUUAAGUCUCCUGAAGGAACGUUAAAGACGAUGACGUUGAUAGGCCGGGUGUGUAAGCGCAGCGAUGCGUUGAGCUAACCGGUACUAAUGAACCGUGAGGCUUAACCUU